rnacentral:rRNA from 1 species
AGAACGAACGCUGGCGGCAUGCCUAAUACAUGCAAGUCGAACGAACUCUUCGGAGUUAGUGGCGCACGGGUGCGUAACGCGUGGGAAUCUGCCCCUUGGUUCGGAAUAACAGUUGGAAACGACUGCUAAUACCGGAUGAUGACGAAAGUCCAAAGAUUUAUCGCCAAGGGAUGAGCCCGCGUAGGAUUAGCUAGUUGGUGAGGUAAAGGCUCACCAAGGCAACGAUCCUUAGCUGGUCUGAGAGGAUGAUCAGCCACGACGUGGGACUGGACACACACGCCCAGACCUCCGUAGGAGCAGCGAGUAGGGAAUAGUAGGACAAGUGGGACGAAGCCGUAGAC